GAUGAACGCUGGCGGCGUGCUUAAUACAUGCAAGUCGAGCGAACAGAUGAGGAGCUUGCUCCUCGGACGUUAGCGGCGGACGGGUGAGUAACACGUGGAUAAUCUACCUAUCAGACUGGGAUAACUUCGGGAAACCGGAGCUAAUCCCGGAUAAUAUAUUGAACCGCAUGGUUCAAUAGUGAAAGUCGGUUUUGCUGUCACUUAUAGCUGGAUCCGCGCCGCAUUAGCUAGUUGGUAAGGUAACGGCUUAUCAAGGCAACUAUGCGUAGCCGACCUGAGGGGGGGGUCGGCCACACUGGAGCGGGGACACGCUCCAGGGGCCUACGAUAGGCAGCAGUAGGGAAUCGGCCGCAAUGGGCGAAAGCCUGACAGAACAAGGCCGAGUGAGUGGUAGCAAUCUUGGGAGCGUAAAGCUCUGUUAUUAGGGAAGAACAAAUGUGUAAGGAGCUAAGCACGUCGUGACGGUACCUGAUCAGAAAGCCACGGCUAACUACGUG
rnacentral:rRNA from 1 species